rnacentral:rRNA from 1 species
AUUGAACGCUGGCGGCAGGCCUAACACAUGCAAGUCGAGCGGAUGAAGGGAGCUUGCUCCUGGAUUCAGCGGCGGACGGGUGAGUAAUGCCUAGGAAUCUGCCUGGUAGUGGGGGAUAACGUCCGGAAACGGGCGCUAAUACCGCAUACGUCCUGAGGGAGAAAGUGGGGGAUCUUCGGACCUCACGCUAUCAGAUGAGCCUAGGUCGGAUUAGCUAGUUGGUGGGGUAAAGGCCUACCAAGGCGACGAUCCGUAAUUGGUCUGAGAGGAUGAUCAGUCACACUGGAACUGAGACACGGUCCAGACUCCUACGGGAGGCAGCAGUGGGGAAUAUUGGACAAUGGGCGAAAGCCUGAUCCAGCCAUGCCGCGUGUGUGAAGAAGGUCUUCGGAUUGUAAAGCACUUUAAGUUGGGAGGAAGGGCAGUAAGUUAAUACCUUGCUGUUUUGACGUUACCAACAGAGUAAGCACCGGCUAACUUCGUG